rnacentral:rRNA from 1 species
AUGAUACGCGAGGAACCUUACCUAGGCUAGAAUGCGCGUGACCGGUCCAGAGAUGGACCUUUCCUUCGGGACACAAAGCAAGGUGCUGCAUGGCCGUCGUCAGCUCGUGCCGUGAGGUGUUGGGUUAAGUCCCGCAACGAGCGCAACCCCUAUCUUUAGUUGCCAGCACAUUAUGGUGGGGACUCUAAAGAGACUGCCUGCGCAAGCAGUGAGGAAGGUGGGGAUGACGUCAGGUCAUCAUGGCCCUUACGCCUAGGGCUACACACGUGCUACAAUGGGCGGUACAGAGGGUUGCUACCUGGUGACAGGAUGCCAAUCUCAAAAAGCCGCUCUCAGUUCGGAUCGAAGUCUGCAACUCGACUUCGUGAAGCUGGAAUCGCUAGUAAUCGCGUAUCAGCAAUGACGCGGUGAAUACGUUCCCGGGCCUUGUACACACCGCCCGUCAAGCCA